AAGAUAAAGCUAAAGUUUAGCAUUUCACUUACGUUGAAAAGGUUGUCGCGGGUUGACUUAUUUUGGU
rnacentral:tRNA from 1 species